rnacentral:rRNA from 1 species
ACCUGGCCUCGGUUAACGGGGAGGAAGGUGGGAUGACGUCAAGUCCUCAUGGCCUUUAUACCCCAGGGCUACACACGUGCUACAAUGGGCUGCACAAAGGGUCGCUAGCUCGCGAGAGUGCGCUAAUCCCAAAAAGCAGUUCUCAGUUCGGAUUGGAGUCUGCAACUCGACUCCACUGAAGUUGGAAUCGCUAGUAAUCGUGGAUCAGCACGCCACGGUGAAUACGUUCCCGGGCCCUU